rnacentral:rRNA from 1 species
CGGCCAGACUCCUACGGGAGGCAGCAGUGGGGAAUAUUGGGCAAUGGGCGCAAGCCUGACCCAGCAACGCCGCGUGAAGGAAGAAGGCUUUCGGGUUGUAAACUUCUUUUGUCAGGGACGAAGCAAGUGACGGUACCUGACGAAUAAGCCACGGCUAACUACGUGCCAGCAGCCGCGGUAAUACGUAGGUGGCAAGCGUUAUCCGGAUUUACUGGGUGUAAAGGGAGCGCAGGCGGCGCGGCAAGUCAGAUGUGAAAGCCCGGGGCUCAACCCCGGGACUGCAUUUGAAACUGCCGGGCUAGAGUAUCGGAGAGGCAAGUGGAAUUCCUAGUGUAGCGGUGAAAUGCGUAGAUAUUAGGAGGAACACCAGUGGCGAAGGCGGCUUGCUGGACGAUCACUGACGCUGAGGCUCGAAAGCGUGGGGAGCAAACAGGAUUAGAUACCCUUGUAC